CAAUAGCGUAUAUUAAAGUUGUUGCAGUUAAAAAGCUCGUAGUUGAACUUCAGACUCGGCUGGGCGGUCUGCCUAACGGUAUGUACUGUCCGGCUGGGUCUUACCUCUUGGUGAGCCGGUAUGCUCUUUACUGGGUGUGCCGGGGAACCAGGACUUUUACCUUGAGAAAAUUAGAGUGUUCAAAGCAGGUCUGCGCCUGAAUACAUUAGCAUGGAAUAAUAAAAUAGGACGUGCGGUUCUAUUUUGUUGGUUUCUAGAGUCGCCGUAAUGAUUAAUAGGGAUAGUUGGGGGCAUUAGUAUUCAGUUGCUAGAGGUGAAAUUCUUGGAUUUACUGAAGACUAACUACUGCGAAAGCAUUUGCCAAGGAUGUUUNCAUUAA
rnacentral:rRNA from 1 species